AUGGGUCUAUCAAUGCUUAUAUGGGUUUUGCUGUAUACCGUAGCAGCAGCAAUAAACUGCCCAGAAAAUGUUUUUCAAAUGAUAACAACACUUAAUGAUACCCUAAUCAACAAUGCUAUUGGUAUGCAUACAGGAUUGACAGUACAUAGAUGUGGAGAAAAAUGUUUGGAGACUCCAACUUGCGCUUCGUUUUCAUAUCUUCUAAAAGAUGCUUACGAAUGUCAUUUAUUUGGACAUCGUGCAUGGUUUGGAUGGAAUAAUCACACAGUUUAUAACGAAUUGGUGACGUAUUGGCUUCUAGCAGAAAUCUGUCCCUCAGAUUACACCCAUGAUACAACUUAUAACGUUUGUUAUAAAGCCUUCUUCGGUACAGCUGAUGAACGAAACUUCUGGGAUGCGAUGGCGCGAUGUCAACAAGAUGGAGGCUAUUUGUAUGUUGGCAAUACAGCGGAAAAAUUUCAGAUCAUACAAGGACUUGAUUCCUCAUCGUAUAAUAAAGUAUACAUAGGAGGAACCAGGCUAGGGGUAAAAUGGACUUGGUUGGAUGGAUCUGACAUUAAUACUAACCUGUGGCAUCCUGGAGAACCUAGCAACGUGAAUGAAGAAUGUGCCGCUAUCAUUUAUGGUUCUCAAAAUGCAGCUUUAGACAUCAGCUGUGUCCCAACAAGGAAAUUUAUCUGUGAAAUACCAAUACGUAAAUAAACCCAUCACCUGCCAAUAAAGACACAGUUUGUUUUAAAUUAAAAUGAUGGUUAAAUUAAUCAAAACUUUCAAUUUAGUAUGUUAUAUGUGUAUAUGUUCAUACUAUUGCAGCUACUAUCCCAAAUCGGGCGCCAUUACAAAAAUCCCCCCACCCCACCCCUGUCAAUUUCUCAAAUAUCUGAAUCAGAGAGAAUUACACCACUGCAGUAAUAACUUUAACAUUCAGAUUUGUUUACUGUGACAGAGAAUAAUAGAUAUAAAAAUCGAUAUAAGACGAACAAAACAUUUUCCGUCAUAGCACACUGUAUGGCGUAUUAGCCCCUUAGCCCAUUAGCCCAGUUCGGAGCAGAACAAUAGGACGUUAAACCCCAUUUCAUUUACAUGAGAUGAAGGAAAUAUAAUG